CCUACGGGCGGCAGCAGUGGGGAAUAUUGCGCAAUGGGCGAAAGCCUGACGCAGCGACGCCGCGUGAGGGAUGAAGGUCUUCGGAUCGUAAACCUCUGUCAGCAGGGAAGAACGGUCACUGUGCUAAUCAGCAGUGAAUUGACGGUACCUGCAAAGGAAGCACCGGCUAACUCCGUGCCAGCAGCCGCGGUAAUACGGAGGGUGCGAGCGUUAAUCGGAAUUAUUGGGCGUAAAGCGCUCGUAGGCGGUAUGUCAAGUCAAGGGUGAAAUCCCCGCGCUCAACGUGGGAACUGCCUUUGAAGCUGGCAAACUGGAGUGUGUGAGAGGAUAGUGGAAUUCCAGGUGUAGGAGUGAAAUGCGUAGAUAUUAGGAGGAACACCAGUGGCGAAGGCGACUUUCUGGACUGUACCUGACGCUGAGGCGCGAAAGCGUGGGUAGCGAACGGGAUUAGAUACCCCAGUAGUC
rnacentral:rRNA from 1 species